rnacentral:rRNA from 1 species
AUACGUAGGGGGCGAGCGUUGUCCGGAAUUACUGGGCGUAAAGGGUGCGUAGGCGGCCUUUUAAGUCAGAUGUGAAAGGCUGCGGCUUAACCGCAGGACUGCAUUUGAAACUGGAAGGCUUGAGUGUCGGAGAGGGUAGUGGAAUUCCCAGUGUAGCGGUGAAAUGCGUAGAUAUUGGGAGGAACACCAGUGGCGAAGGCGACUACCUGGACGACAACUGACGCUGAGGCACGAAAGCUAGGGGAGCAAACAGGAUUAGAUACCCUGGUAGUCCUAGCCGUAAACGAUGGGUACUAGGUGUAGGUGGUUUCGAUACCAUCUGUGCCGCAGUUAACGCAAUAAGUACCCCGCCUGGGGAGUACGGUCGCAAGACUGAA